GGAGAGAGCGAUGGCGUUACUCAGGUUCCAGCAUCCCCUGACUUGGCUCACGAUCGCCUACAUUACGUGCACCCUUGUGUCGAAAGCCCAGCCAGUAGAUCAAUCGGGAGACAGAAGAAAAUGUGAAAGAGCCUUUUCCUCGUCAACGCCGACCUUCGUCUUCAAGUGCACGUAUAAAUGCAAAGGUUGGGACUUCCACUAUGAAAAUGAACCUGAUGGUAUUCCUUGUGGGGUCUUUGCAUUCUUUCGACCAACAGGUCUUUGCAGAGGUGGAAAAUGUGUAAGCGUUGACGCUUUCAGGAAAGCAUCACAUGACGCUGUUCAAUUAUAUUCGACAAAAGUGAGUACGGAACAGACGUUUCCGACGGCUGAACUUGUAGCGUCUGCUGGUAAUAUGACAUCUGAAGUACCUUCUAUCGAAGAUUCGGUUACUA